rnacentral:tRNA from 1 species
GCCCAGGUGGCGGAACUGGUAGACGCGCACGCUUGAGGGGCGUGUGGGAGCAAUCCCGUGGAAGUUCGAGUCUUCUCCUGGGCACCA